rnacentral:rRNA from 1 species
GGUACACGCUGUGACUAGCAUAUCAAUAAGCGGAGGAAAAGAAACUAACAAGGAUUCCCCUAGUAACGGCGAGUGAAGCGGGAAGAGCUCAAAUUUGAAAUCUUAAAGGGUUUCCCUUUACGAAUUGUAGUUUAAAGAAGUGUUUUCUGUUGAGGUUUUGGUAAAAGUUCUUUGGAAUAGGACAUCAUAGAGGGUGAGAAUCCCGUAUUUGACCUUUACUUUCAACUUUGUGAUACACUUUCAAAGAGUCGGAUUGUUUGGGAAUGCAGUCCAAAAUGGGUGGUAAAUUUCAUCUAAAGCUAAAUAUUGGCGAGAGACCGAUAGCGAACAAGUACCGUGAGGGAAAGAUGAAAAGAACUUUGAAAAGAGAGUUAAACAGUACGUGAAAUUGUCAAAAGGGAAGCGUUUGACACCAGUGUUGUUUUUCUGAAAAUCAAUUAAAGAACUGUUUAUGCUAAGUUGUUUAGACUUUAUCAGCUAUCUGUUUAGUUUUGAGCUUUUCUUUAAUGCACUUUCCAGUUAACAAGUCAACAUCAAUUUCUUUUGCUGUAAAAAAGCUUGAGGAAGGUGGCUUGAGAUUCGUCUUAAGUGUUUAUAGCCUCUUGCCUAUGCAGUCGGAGAGAUUGAGGUCUGCAGCGUAGAUCCUUCGGGGCUAAAUGCAUUUGUGCUAAGUUAUAGCAUUUUAUAGACAACUUGUUGACUAUGAUUUGUCUUGUAGCUUACUCGCUUAUGUUAUUUUACCUACGCUUAGGAUGUUGAAGAUGUAGCACAUCAU